rnacentral:tRNA from 1 species
GCCCGGAUGGCGAAAUCGGUAGACGCAGGAGAUUUAAAAUCUUCCGGCCGCAAGGCCAUGCCGGUUCGAACCCGGCUCCGGGCACCA